GAGAGAAGAGUUCGAGAUCAUGAGUGUAAAUUAAUGAGAUGAAUGGGAAAGUCGUAUUUCCCAAAGUUCAUUCGGGCUUACUGCGACGGAUGUAGCUCUUUGAGAGAAUAAUUAUUUAAUGUGCAAAUUUAGACGUGGGAGGUUAAAAGAAGAAUUAGAAACAUUAUUAAGGUGUUGCUUGAUUUAAAUUAUGUGAAUAUGUGGUAUUUGAAGUCAUGGAUAAAUUUGUGUGCUCAUGCUUGAUUUGCUGCAACUAUUUAGAUUGAUGACUUAUUUAAUGAUUGGUAUAAAUGUGAUGCUAUGUAUUUGAAUGUAAUUUUUGGUAUGAUAUGAUGACUAUUGGAAUAUGAUUACGUGUGAUUGAAAAUAUGAUAAGUGUUGAUGAACGAGAUGUCGAUUAGAGAUGGAUAAGCAUUGAUGUUAUUCUUUAGAUGACAAGUAGGGAUGAUUCCAGCUUAUGUUGUAGAUGACACUCUUAAGGAGUAUCUUAGGCCAACGAGGGGAUAGAUUAGAUGUAAG
rnacentral:lncRNA from 1 species